rnacentral:rRNA from 1 species
UACGGGGGGGGCAAGCGUUGUUCGGAAUUACUGGGCGUAAAGGGCGCGUAGGCGGCCUUCUAAGUCGGACGUGAAAUCCCUCGGCUUAACCGAGGAACUGCGUCCGAUACUGAAAGGCUUGAAUCCGGGAGAGGGAUGUGGAAUUCCAGGUGUAGCGGUGAAAUGCGUAGAUAUCUGGAGGAACACCGGUGGCGAAGGCGGCAUCCUGGACCGGCAUUGACGCUGAGGCGCGAAAGCCAGGGGAGCAAACGGG